rnacentral:tRNA from 1 species
CCGGUAGCUCAGUUGGUAGAGCAACUGACUUUUAAUCAGUAGGUCUCGGGUUCGAGCCCCG